rnacentral:rRNA from 1 species
GCUUGUCUCAAAGAUUAAGCCAUGCAUGUCUAAGUACAAGCCUCAGUAAGGUGAAACCGCGAAUGGCUCAUUAAAUCACACCUAAUCUACUGGAAAGUUACUAGUUACUUGGAUAACUGUGGUAAUUCUAGAGCUAAUACAUGCACAAAAACCCGACUUCGCAGAAGGGUUGUGUUUAUUAGAUACAGAACCAACCCAGACUCUGUCUGGUUGCUUGGUGAUUCAUGAUAACUGAAUGAAUCGCAUGCUUCGGCGGCGAUAAAUCAUUCAAGUUUCUGACCUAUCAGCUUCCGACGGUAGGGUAUUGGCCUACCGUGGCAAUGACGGGUAACGGAGAAUUAGGGUUCGAUUCCGGAGAGGGAGCCUGAGAAACGGCUACCACAUCUAAGGAAGGCAGCAGG